rnacentral:rRNA from 1 species
AUUGAACGCUGGCGGCAUGCCUUACACAUGCAAGUCGAACGGUAACGCGGGGCAACCUGGCGACGAGUGGCGAACGGGUGAGUAAUAUAUCGGAACGUGCCCAGUAGUGGGGGAUAGCCCGGCGAAAGCCGGAUUAAUACCGCAUACGACCUACGGGUGAAAGGGGGGGAUCGCAAGACCUCUCGCUAUUGGAGCGGCCGAUAUCAGAUUAGCUAGUUGGUAGGGUAAAAGCCUACCAAGGCAACGAUCUGUAGCUGGUCUGAGAGGACGACCAGCCACACUGGGACUGAGACACGGCCCAGACUCCUACGGGAGGCAGCAGUGGGGAAUUUUGGACAAUGGGCGCAAGCCUGAUCCAGCCAUGCCGCGUGUGGGAAGAAGGCCUUCGGGUUGUAAACCACUUUUGUCAGGGAAGAAACGCUCUGGAUUAAUACUCUGGGGUAAUGACGGUACCUGAAGAAUAAGCACCGGCUAACUACGUGCCAGCAGCCGCCGCCG